GUCUGGGACCUGGGGCGGAGGAGGGCUGGCUGACCAACUUAAGGCGACUGGCAGCCCUGGCCUGGCCCUACGUUCCCGGGGGAAGAGGGUGUCUGAGUGUGUUCCCAGUUGCGGACUAAAGCUGGGGAGAGGGAAGAGCCGAGAGACCGCCUCCAGAGCCGCGGCCAAUCCCGCCCUGGAUUUGGCGGGUGCUUAAGUAAAGCAAGGACUUUCCAUACUGGAAAAAAAAAAUUCAUGAAAACAAUCUUUUACAGCACAAGUUAAUGACUACUAAAACAUUUGGACUAAACUGAAAUCGAGGAACCCAAUAUGUCGUUAACGUCUCUCUUUACAAUGCAGAAUAUGUACCAAGUGAAAUUAUGUUUUAUAUUAUGAGUACUGUUUGCAUUACUUGCAUUUAGCUGUAUAAAUAGUAAAGAGGUACUGUUACAUUAAAAUUAGCAUGAGUAACUCCAUUUUGCCUUUCAUCCACCAUUUUGUGAAGUUUCAACUCUCAGUAAGGCACAAGAGUACUCCCCUUCCCCAGUCACUCCAUUUAAAGACUGUCACAAGACCCUUCUCCCUCUCACCUCAGUGAUACCUUCUACCAAUGAGAAACCAAAUGUCUUAAUCCCUAUAAUCCUGUUUUUUCACUCCCUGCAAAUUGUAUAUUAAUGGUGUAGAAACCAAGCUUUGGGGUCCGUGGCUAUUGAGAGCCCAGUGUGUAUUACAACUGCAUGCGUUGCUUAAUAAAUUGUUACCUGGAUGUAA